rnacentral:lncRNA from 10 species
GUCUGGAAGCUCCGAGUUUAUCUUGGGAACUCAAGAGGAGAGGAUCACCCAGUUCACAGCAAUCAAACUCCAAAUGGUGCUGUAAACUGAACCACACAUGGACAGGCCAUUCUUCCGAGGACCCUUAGAUUGAUCCCAGGGGGAGCCCUAGCUGCUAUUCCCCAUUCAACGCCCCUUUUCAGCAGGAAGUAGCCAGAAGGAGUCGCCGCCCAAAAUCCCCUAACAGCAGUUAGUGUGGCAUCUCCACAGGAAGUAAUGUUGUAGGAGUUACUAAGAAAUUAUUUUAGGCAGAUAGAGAGGAAAAGGGGUCCUUGGGAAGUUUUCAUUUUUUAAAGCAUCUCUGGAAAAGUUUCUUGUAAAGCCCCGGCUCUUAGAGCCAGGCUGGCAACCUUUGAUAUGCAAAUGUAAGCCAUUAGAAACCAGGUCCACCCAGGCCAGGUGUGGUGGCUCACGCCUGUAAUCCCAACACUUUGGGAAGCCUAGGCAGGUGGAUCACCUGAGGUCAGGAGUUCGAGACCAGCCUGGCCAACAUGGUGAAACCCCGCCUCUAAUAAAAACACAAAAAACUAGCCAGGUGUGCUGCUGUGUGUCUGUAAUUCCAGCUACUUGGGAGGCUGAGGCAGGAGAACUGCUUGAACCCAGGAGGCAGAGGUUGCAGUGAGCUGAGAUUGCAUCAUUGCACUCCAGCCUGGGCGACAGCAAGACUCUGUAAAAAAAAAAAAAAAAAAAAAAAAAAACAGCCAGGCGUGGUAGCACGCCUGUAGUCCCAGCUACUUGGGAGGCUGAGAUGGGAGGAUCACCCUCGACUGGGGAAGUUGAGGCUGCAGUGAGCUGAAAUCGCACCACUGCACUCCAGCCUGGGUGACAGACUGAGACCCUGUCAAAUAAAUAAUGUAUGUAUGUAUAUAUGUAUGUAUGUAUGUUAACCUCAUCCCAAAACAUCCUCACAGAACAUCCAGAAUAAUGUUUGACCAAAUAUCUGGGCACCAAUGGCACAUUCAAGUUGACACAUAAAAUUAACCCUCACAAUACCGUACUGUACAACUUUUGGAGUGAAGCUGGAAUGUCAUCGCAUUUCCAAGACUAACUCAGUGUCCACAAAUGAUGCUUAAGUCAUGAGGAUCAUCUCGGAUUUGGAUUUGGAUGCCUGUCAAGCCCUCACUCUUCAGACUAAAUGUCUGAUUUGCAUGGAGAAUUAUCAAGAGAAGCAACAAUGCCAAGCAGACUAUUCCAGGUCAAAAUAGUCAAAUUAAUAAUUCAUAAAUUAUUAUAUGUUUUGAAGGUAUUGCAAAAUUAAAGUUGCAAGAACAGUACAGAUAACUUUUUUCCUGAACCAUUUGAGAGUAGGUUGCAGACCUGGUGCCCCAUCAUUUCUGAAUAUUUUAGUGUGCAUUUUCUACAAACAAGGACAUUUUCCAGCAUAACCACAAUGCACCCAUCAAUGUCGUGAAAUUAAUGUUGGUACAUUACUACCACCUAGUCCUCAGACCCUAUUCAAAUUAUACCAGUUAUCAUAAUAGUUUCUUAUAAUUUAUAGCAAAAUGAUCCAAACCAGGAGCAUGCAUUGCAUUUUUAUGAAUUUUUAAAACAAUUAAGUCUGUGUAGUGAGUGAAGCCACAGUGAUAGGAAUAUAUAAAGGCUUUGCAUCUAGAAUUUGUUCUGAAAACCCUGAGAUUCAAGUAGUACAUUAUUUCAUUUACUAUUUUACACAGAGAAGCCCUCAUUUUUAAGAGUUUGCCUUUCUGAUUUCCACCGGAAAUGAUACUAUCAGUAUCAUACUCAGAAUCUUAAUUACAUACAAGGCACUAACCUCUCACCUGUUUUCAGCUUUGUGUAAAGACAAGGGAUCAAAACAUCCCUUUCUGCUAUUUCAUACUUAAGUGUGGGAGCUGAUCCAAAGGAAGAAUAGUUUCAAAAGUUUGUAGCAAAAAAAAUUUAAAAGGUGAAGAUUUUUUCCUUGAAUGAUUCUCACCUGGCAGAUCUAUGGAAAGAUUAGCUGACUCUUUGGAUCCCUGAAUAUAGUUAAUAGAAAUUUGGAAGGACCAUGUCAAAAUUAACUAAUGUGAACUGACAAAGAUUUGGUGUUCAAAGCAAAAAUUAAACUUUGGAAAAGUGAGCAAGUACUUAAUCAGAAACAAAAAAAAAAAAAAGAAAGGAAAAGUUAGGUGAAAAUGGUUUCCAGGUGUUGUUGCUGUUAUAGUUUGAAUCAUAAAAGUUGUUAAAAGUCUGCUGUAACAAACCAUCAUAGACUGGGUGACUUAUAAAGAACAAAAAUGUAUUUCUCACAGUUCCAGAGGCUGGGAAGUCUAAGAUCAAGGCAUCAGCAGAUUCAGUGUCUGGUGAGGGCCCACUUUCUGGUUCAUAGAUGGCACCUUCUCACUGUCUCCCCACGUGAUGGAAGGGGCAAGAGGUCUCUCUUGGUACUCUUUUAUUAAGGGCACUAAUCCCAUCCAUGGGGCUCCACCUUCAUGACCUAUUCAUCUCCCAGAGGCCCUACCUGCAGAUACCAUCGUAUGGGGGAUUUGAUUUCAGCCUGUGAAUUUGGGGGAAGCGGGACAAACAUUCGUUUUGUAGCAAAAGGAGUAGAGUAAUAUCUGCCAAUAACUGGAGGAAAGAAUUGUUCUUUUAAAACUAUUAAAUUGUUUAAUGGGAUUUAAAUGAUUUCAGGAAUGAAAUGGAAAUCCUGGUAAUGGGUAGAAACAUAGGUAAAUUCUCCUUUUCCACUUACCACCACCUGUGUGAACAACAAUCAUUUCUCAUUAAUAGUCAAGAAUUUGAAGAGAUCAUGAGUAAAAAGUCUUGAUCAGAAAUUGUGUAUAGCUGUUUCCAGCAUAAAACCUUAUAUAAAAUGCAUAUUCAUAGAAGAUGCUCAAGUAUGUCAUGAAAAAUAUGAAGUUUAUUUAAAUAUUUAUACAAAUUAAAGAUUUACUGUAUUCUCUAACAGCGCGUAUUUUCUUUUUUGUAAUAACUAUAUGAAAUAAAUACAAAGUAACACGUUUUUACCAAGCCCCCUUCCCAUCCUUCUCAUCACCCUCAAACUCCCUCCAAAUAGAGUCAGAGAAACAGCCAGAGGGAUGUCUCCACUGAGACACAGGGAGGUCUUGCACCCAGGCAGUUCAGCAGUUCCUGGGCGGGUGGCCCUUCCCAUCUGAGUACCCCUCAAUGUGCCUGCUCCUCCUGGGAUCCUUUCUGCUCCCUUGGGCCUCUGUUUUUGGUCUGCAAUGGUUGGUUAUGUAGAGGGAUCAGUAUUGGGGUUGUCCCAAGCCAGGCUACAGGUUGAGCAGGUAGCCACAUAGGCCACAUAGCAGGACGGGCCCAGCUGGGGACUCUGAUGUCUGCAAUUAGGGGUGGCAGGAAGUAAUGGAUGCACAGGCGCUGACUUGGCCUGGCCUUAAGCCUUAGUCUAGCGGAAAGGUCUGGCUGUUUACCUGCCUUCCUAUUUGGAGCUGAUCCCAGGACCAAACGGGAUGCCAUCGUACCAAGGGCAGGGAGAUGAAGGGAGGCCCUCAGAAGAGAAUGAGGCCUAAAUGCCAGGUAAAGGGCAGGAAGGGGUUCAAUCCCAGCAGCACCUCCUGGUGGUAGUUGGGGAAAUAAAAUGGCCAGAGAGGAGACUGGCCCUGAAGGCAUCUCCAGAGCUUGAGUCCCUCAGUAGCCAACCUGAGCUCCUAAACCCCUCUGGACUAGGUCCCCUUCUCCACUUAACCUGCCUCCUCAAGAAAG